rnacentral:rRNA from 1 species
UGGGGAAUUUUGGACAAUGGGGGAAACCCUGAUCCAGCCAUCCCGCGUGUGCGAUGAAGGCCUCCGGGUUGUAAAGCACUUUUGGCAGGAAAGAAACGUCAUGGGUUAAUACCCCGUGAAACUGACGGUACCUGCAGAAUAAGCACCGGCUAACUACGUGCCAGCAGCCGCGGUAAUACGUAGGGUGCAAGCGUUAAUCGGAAUUACUGGGCGUAAAGCGUGCGCAGGCGGUUCGGAAAGAAAGAUGUGAAAUCCCCGAGCUCAACUUUGGAACUGCAUAUUUACCGACCGGGCGAGAGUGUGUCAGGGGGAGGUGGAAUUCCGCGUGUAGCAGUGAAAUGCGUAGAUAUGCGGAGGAACACCGAUGGCGAAGGCAGCCUCCGGGGUUAACCCUCGCGCUCAUGCACGAAAGCGUGGGGAGCAAACAGG